ACGAAGGGGGCUAGCGUUGCUCGGAAUUACUGGGCGUAAAGCGCACGUAGGCGGCUUCUUAAGUCGGUGGUGAAAUCCUGGAGCUCAACUCCAGAACUGCCUUCGAUACUGAGAAGCUCGAGUUCGGGAGAGGUGAGUGGAACUGCGAGUGUAGAGGUGAAAUUCGUAGAUAUUCGCAAGAACACCAGUGGCGAAGGCGGCUCACUGGCCCGAUACUGACGCUGAGGUGCGAAAGCGUGGGGAGCAAACAGG
rnacentral:rRNA from 1 species